UUCUUCAGCAUCACCGUACUCUGUUUUCACUCUCUGUCCUCCUUUCAGUUUCUUGGUUUCUGGGAUUUUGUUUUUUUCUGGCGCAAUUUGAGAGAUUAUGGGUGGGGCGAUUUUGCCAGAUCUUGGAACGGAAAUUCUGAUUCCGGUAUGUGCGAUUAUCGGAAUUGGGUUCUCGUUGAUUCAGUGGUUGCUUGUUUCGAAAGUGAAGCUGGUCCCUGGUGGUAGAGAUGCGGCGGGGAAUAAUAGUGUAG
rnacentral:misc_RNA from 1 species